GCUCUGAGGCACAUGGGAUCUUCCUGGACCAGGGAUUGAAUCCAUGUCCCAGGCUUUGGCAGGUGGAUUCCCAACCACUGGACCACCAGGGAAGUCCCAACAUUGACCACCUUUUCAUGUGACCAUCAGCCAUUUGAAUGUCUUCUUUGGAGAUAAGUUUGAAUUAUUUGUCCAUUUUAAAAUGGUUGGUGGGUUGUUUUUUUUUUGUCUCUUUGUUGUUGGGUUUUAAAAAGUUUAUCUUUUUAAAGGAUGGGGAACACAUGUACACCCGUGGCGGAUUCAAAAAAAGAAAAAAAAUAAAUAAAAAGUUUAUCUGUAUUAACUACUGGAUUUCUGAAAAAUAUUGCAUCUAAAAACAAAGAUUUACUGAUAAAUGAAGGCUGGGACCUGUUGCAGCCUUUUUAUGUCACAUACAGAGAAAUAGAGGCCCAUGAGUUAAACUACACUGUAAGUAGCAAAACCGAGUCUGUCUGACUGCUUGCCUCACCUCCUCCGAUGUCACUCAGCACUUGGAAUGGGCAGCACGCAGGUGCGGGCUCUGUGAGGAACUACACAUGCAAAAACAAACCCUGUCCUUCAAAGACUUGCAGCUGGCAGAGCUGGGAGUUGAGGGGGUAUAGUGAGAAGUUCCCUGUAAUUGAGGAAGGGAGAGAGUGGUGGCAAACAAGGCUAGAUUCUGAAGGAUUUGAAUGCCAAUAAAUUGGAGGUUUUAGCCUGGAGACCCCCAAGUCACAAAUUCAAGCACCCUCCUGGGACCGCAGGUGGUAUAAAUGUGAAUAAUCGGGGUAAAGCAGUAGGGAGUGGAGGGGGCCUGUGGCUAACCAGAGUGCUCGCCCAGCCUAAAGGCAGAUUCCAAGAUUGCUGGUUACAGCAUAUUCAGACUGACGUCAGUUUGGGGGGUUCCAGAGAUUUUGGGCGCCCUUUAAGUACCAUGUUAGCUGCAUCUCCCACGUCCUGAUGCCCUAUUGGACACCUACACGCUGCUUCAGACUUUCAUGGUCCUUCUCCAGCUGCUGCCAACACUUCUGCCAGGACCACCCCACCCCCCAGAGCGGGCAUCCAGGCUUGAGAACGCCGGGGCUGCACACUCCGUAAAUCACAGCCGUGGGGUCACAGCGCUUCUGCAGCAUUCUGUCGUCAGUACAAGUCACGGGGUCAGCCAGAUUCAAGAGAAAGGGGAAUAGACCUGACCUCUUGUCAGAGAGCGACAAAGAAUUUUCUGUUCUUUUCCAUCCACCAUCACAAUGACUAUAUGGCCCAUUUAGUCUACCUAUAUAAAGUUCAAAACAGACAAGACGAAUCUACAGCAAUAGAUAUGUGAAUAGUGGUUGCUUCUGGGGGCUGGGGCUGGGGCUGGACUGAAAAAGAGUACAAGGGAUUUUCUCGGGCGCAGACAAGACUACAGUGAUUGGGGGGGGUAUCAGUUACAUGGAUGUAUAUGUAUUUGUCAAAACUCACCAAACUGGACACUUAAGAGCUGUGGGUUUUAGUGUAUAAAAUUAUACCUUAAUAAAUAAACAGGCAACAACAAAUACUA